GCUGGCGACCAUAGCAAGAGUGAACCACCUGAUCCCUUCCCGAACUCAGAAGUGAAACCUCUUCGCGCUGAUGGUAGUGNGGGUUACCCAUGUGAGAGUAAGUCAUCGCCAGCU
rnacentral:rRNA from 14 species